rnacentral:rRNA from 1 species
CCCUCAUCCACAACCCACACACCUGUGCACCAAAGGGACGGCGGGUGGAUAACGCACGCCGUCUCGCUUUAACAAGCUCAAAAGUCUAUUUUGAAUGUCAUUUAUUCGGGCUAGCCCCGAUGUAACUUAAACAUAACAACUUUCAACAACGGAUCUCUUGGCUCUCGCAUCGAUGAAGAACGCAGCGAAAUGCGAUAAGUAAUGUGAAUUGCAGAAUUCAGUGAAUCAUCGAAUCUUUGAACGCACCUUGCGCCCAUUGGUAUUCCGAUGGGCAUGCCUGUUUGAGUGUCUUGAAAUCAUCAAGCCCGUUCGGUUUCACCGCCGAGCGGGGUUGGACUUGGGGGCUUGCCGCUUCGCCGCGGCUCCCCUUAAAUGCAUCGGUUUCGGGUCUCUGUGGGAGUCACCCCUUGGGCGUUGUAUAACCCUCGCUGUCUGGGAACUCCACGCGACGUCCGCGUCGUUGAAGGGCCUUGAAGAAACCUCGACCUGCUGUAGAGUGGCGGUCAAUGUUAAAUCGAGAUCUGACCUCAAAUCAGGUAGGACUACCCGCUGAACUUAAGCAUAUCAAUAAGCGGAGGAAA